AUCCAACUUGUGAUUCAGUCGUAAACUUUUAUUGCUUAGCUGUAAAUUUUCUGCAAACAACCAGGAAUGCAUUGCAUUUUUGUGACGAGUGCAAAUGCUCUCCUCUGUCGCCAUGUUUAUACAAUUCUUUUUUAAUAUUAGUAUUUUUUUUUAAAAAGCCUUCUCUCUCCCGUCCCCCCCCCCCCGCCCAGUUUCAUUAAAGGGAACAAAUUAAUAUCGGGGAUUUUCAAAGAGCGAGGUUGCCUCGUCACGUCUGAGCUGCCUUGUUGAAGGAUCAGCCGGACUUGUUGUUGUUGUUGGGUUUUUAAGGCAGGGAGAUUUGGCCUUAUGCGCCGUGUUCAUUUGGUUAAUUAAUUAAGUGUCUUAGUGGAAUGAGCACGAAGGAGGCAAAGAGGGGAAAUAGGGAUAUUGCGGGGAAUUGAAAUAAUAAUAAUCAUCAUCAUACAAUGAUCAACCCCUGUUAAAUUCAAGCAGAGCUAGGAAUAAAGACCACUGAGUUGGGUUGUGGGUUUUCUUGAAUUUCCACCAAGGGUGUGUCCGCUUGGAUGUCGGGGCUGAGCCCCAAUUUCCUUCGGGUUUUCCUCCAUAUCCUCUGUGCUACAUAACCGAGCCCUCUAACUCAACACUAAAGAUAUGGGAAGGAUCAUAUUAUUAACCUCCAAAGGGGAGCAGCUAAUGCCGUAUUUCCCCAGCAAUUUCCUUUAAUUUUUUUUGCCUUCAUUUUUAUGGCGGUAUUUUUUUUGUGUAUGUGUAAUUAAUUAAUUCCUUCCCAAUUAUAGGAUGGCGUGGUGGGAUUCUUUUAUUUUUAAUCACGGCGUGUCUGGAAAUCCUAGCUAGAACUUGUCUGUGAGCCCUCAUCCCUUUAUCGCACAAGGGCUAGACACAAGAGCCAGGACAAAGAUUGGAGAGAUAAGACUACCACAAAAAAAAAUCACCGCAUUUUUGUCGCAAUAGUAGGACUCAAGGGCUCUACACAUAUCUCCCCCCUCUGCUCUCGUAUUAUAGAGAAAGGUCAAUUCUGCAGGCAGGAGUUUAGAAAUAGCCCUGAGGGACUUCGCUUGAAUUUGCCUGCUAACAUUGAUGCAGAGGUGCACAGACGCCUUGCACUGUAGCAAGGGGAAGAUAACUACCGGGUUGUAAAUGCCAGAAGAAUAACCCUGAAGAUGAUACCUCAGUUCAAAUAAACCCGUCUGGCUUAUGGCUAAUAAACCAGCCUACCUUAAGUGGCUACUUUGGCAAGAG